CGCUGUGCGCCUCUCCGCCGCUGUCCGCCUCUCCGCCGCGCCGCCGCUGUCCGCCUCUCCGCCGCUGUCCGCCUCUCCGCCGCUGUCCGCCUCUCCGCCACGCCGGCGCUGUGUGCCUUUGCGAGGGCGGAGCUGAGUUCUCCUUUGCACAGACUUCGGAGAUACAGCGAAGGCAGAGCAAUGUUCUCCUCAGCACAGACCCGGGCGGGCGGGCCGGUGGCACCGCGAGGGCGGAGCUGCGUUCUGCUCUGCACAGACCUUGGGGGCACUGCCUCGCUUUGGGACACCUCGGGGCCGCAUCGACGGUGAAUAAAAUCCUUCCUGUUUGCAGCCCUGUUUGUGGUUGGUGGCAGCGAUGGACACUGCAGCCAGCCAGAGCGUAGAAAGGCGUUGGGUGAAAGAAGAUGGCCAUGGAGACAGACAGCAGCAUGGUCAGAGUGGUAGGAGCCGGCCAUCAGCGAGAGCUGCUCCAUGCCUGGCUGCUGGAUGCUAGAGCCUGCGGCCCACUGGCUUGCCUCACUGUGGUUGCUGGUGGUGGUGACAGAGACUGCAGCAUGAACAGAGUGGCUUUUCUGGCUUUGCCUGCCCAGCUGCUCCGUGCCAGGAGGAGGAGGAGACACCUUGAGCCUGCGACACCACGGCUUGCCUCGCUGCGGGUGGGUGGCAGUGACGGAGAUUGCAGUGCGCCAGAGCGGUAGGAGAGCGGCCGCACUAGGAGGGCAGGUGGCUGCAGCCAGGGUUGGGGUUCAGGCUUACAGCGAUGGACGGGCUGCAGCAGUGGCCAGGUGGUAGGAGCCUUGUAGGGAGGGCUGGUGCAUUGGCAAUGGGCCUGGCUUUGCCCUGCGCCUGCCAUGGAUCUGGCCCUGUACUGCCCUGCCUUGCCCUAUACCUGCUCUACUGUUACCUGGACUCUCGGCCCUGUCCUGCUCUGCUCCCAUCCUGACCCUGUCUUGGCCCUGUGCUACCCUGUCCCUGCCCUGGUCUUGCCCUGGCACUGGCCCUGCCCUGAACCUGCACUGGCCUGACCUUGGCUCUGGCCCUGGCUCUGGCCCUGCCCCUUGUCCUGACCCUGGUCCUGUCAUGGCACUGGCCCUGCCAAUGGUCAUGGUCCUGCUCCUGUUCUGGCCCUGACCUGGCCUUGGACAUGUCCUGGCCCUGCUUUGGCCCAUCCCUGCCCUGGCCCCACCAUGGGCCUGCCUGUUCUGCCCUCUCCUGGUGCUGACCUUGCCCUGUCAUGGCCCAGUGGUGCCAUUGUCCUGCCUUACCCUGCGCUGGUUGUGCCUUGGCCCCGCUUGGUGCUGGCCGCUCCCUGGACCUGCCCUGGACCUGCCCUGACCCUGCCUUGGCUUUUGCCCUGCCCUCACUAUGGCCUGGCCCUGGCCCUAGCCCUGGUCCUGCCAUAUCCCUGGCCCUGCCCUUAUCCAGGCCCUGCCCCUGCUGCUGCCCUAGCCCUGGCCUGGAACCUGGUCCUGUCAAGGACCUGCCCUGACUCUGCCAUGGC
rnacentral:lncRNA from 10 species